rnacentral:rRNA from 1 species
AUGAACGCUGGCGGCGUGCCUAAUACAUGCAAGUCGAGCGAACGGACGAGAAGCUUGCUUCUCUGAUGUUAGCGGCGGACGGGUGAGUAACACGUGGAUAACCUACCUAUAAGACUGGGAUAACUUCGGGAAACCGGAGCUAAUACCGGAUAAUAUUUUGAACCGCAUGGUUCAAAAGUGAAAGACGGACUUGCUGUCACUUAUAGAUGGAUCCGCGCUGCAUUAGCUAGUUGGUAAGGUAACGGCUUACCAAGGCAACGAUGCAUAGCCGACCUGAGAGGGUGAUCGGCCACACUGGAACUGAGACACGGUCCAGACUCCUACGGGAGGCAGCAGUAGGGAAUCUUCCGCAAUGGGCGAAAGCCUGACGGAGCAACGCCGCGUGAGUGAUGAAGGUCUUCGGAUCGUAAAACUCUGUUAUUAGGGAAGAACAUAUGUGUAAGUAACUGUGCACAUCUUGACGGUACCUAAUCAGAAAGCCACGGCUAACUACGUG